rnacentral:rRNA from 1 species
CAGCAGCCGCGGGAAUACGUAGGUGGCAAGCGUUGUCCGGAAUUAUUGGGCGUAAAGGGCUCGCAGGCGGUUUCUUAAGUCUGAUGUGAAAGCCCCCGGCUCAACCUGGGAGGGUCAUUGGAAACUGGGAAACUUGAGUGCAGAAGAGGAGAGUGGAAUUCCACGUGUAGCGGUGAAAUGCGUAGAGAUGUGGAGGAACACCAGUGGCGAAGGCGACUCUCUGGUCUGUAACUGACGCUGAGGAGCGAAAGCGUGGGGAGCGAACAGGAUUAGAUACCCGAGUAGUCCCUGUCUCUUAUAC